rnacentral:misc_RNA from 1 species
GAUGAAGAACGUAGCGAAAUGCGAUACGUAGUGUGAAUUGCAGAAUUCCGUGAACCAUCGAAUCUUUGAACGCAUAUUGCGCUCGAGGCUUCGGCCAAGAGCAUGUCUGCCUCAGCGUCGGGUUAAUAUCACCAAUCUUUAUACUUUAUCGUAUAUUGUGCUGGUGGAUCUGGCUGUUCCAGCUAGUGCCGCGGCUUUCAAUAGCUGCCUAGUGUGCAUCUGGAUCAGCUGAAGUACAGAGGCUAACCAAGGACCCAUCAAGGGCCGCAACUGGGUGGGCAGAAAUGCUAAAUUCUUAGUUGUUGGCUUGGGACUUUGAUUGUUCGGCCCUCAAACAGGAACUUUUAACCUAUUUUCUCGACCUGAGCUCAGGCAAGAACACCCGCUGAACUUAAGCAUAUCAAUAAGCGGGAGGA